AAAUAAUACAGCCAUCACGGUCAUGUUCACAGUGGCUUACCAUGCACAAAUCUUUGUGUAUUUCCAUCAAGGACCUACAGAUACAGCGUACAUUAAAUACUCUGAAAUUCCCUGGACAGUCGUCCACCAUGUUUACAAAAGAGUUACCAUUAGCAGGCAAUGGGUUGGCUUUCACAUUCGGCGCCCUAUCCUCAAAGGACACCAUACCA
rnacentral:lncRNA from 1 species